UUUAAUUUAUAAAAAUAAUUUUCAGAAUUUUAAAAAUAAGCCAGGGGUAUUUUUGUCAAUUCCAAUGCCAUUUUGCUAAUUUGAUGACGUGGUAGUGAUUAUCCGAGAAGAGGGACGAACUUUCAAAUGAUUAGUAAUUACAGGGGCAAAAUGAAAGGAUUAGUAAGUUCAGGGAUGAAAAAUCAAACGGCCUAUAAUUACAGGGAUGAAAAAC
rnacentral:lncRNA from 1 species